rnacentral:rRNA from 1 species
UACGGAGGGUGCAAGCGUUAAUCGGAAUUACUGGGCGUAAAGCGUGCGUAGGUGGUUGAAUAAGUUAUCUGUGAAAUCCCCGGGCUCAACCUGGGCAGGUCAGAUGAUACUGUUUAACUCGAGUAUGGGAGAGGGUAGUGGAAUUUCCGGUGUAGCGGUGAAAUGCGUAGAGAUCGGAAGGAACACCAGUGGCGAAGGCGGCUACCUGGCCUAAUACUGACACUGAGGCACGAAAGCGUGGGGAGCAAACAGG